UACGAAGGGGGCUAGCGUUGUUCGGAAUCACUGGGCGUAAAGCGUAUGUAGGCGGAUUGUUAAGUCAGGGGUGAAAUCCCGAGGCUCAACCUCGGAACUGCCUUUGAUACUGGCUGUCUUGAGUCCGGGAGAGGUGAGUGGAACUCCUAGUGUAGAGGUGAAAUUCGUAGAUAUUAGGAAGAACACCAGUGGCGAAGGCGGCUCACUGGCCCGGUACUGACGCUGAGGUGCGAAAGCGUGGGGAGCGAACAGG
rnacentral:rRNA from 1 species